rnacentral:rRNA from 1 species
UACGUAGGGUGCAAGCGUUGUCCGGAAUUAUUGGGCGUAAAGAGCUCGUAGGCGGUCUGUCGCGUCGGCUGUGAAAACCCGGGGCUCAACCCCGGGCCUGCAGUCGAUACGGGCAGACUAGAGUGCGGUAGGGGAGACUGGAAUUCCUGGUGUAGCGGUGAAAUGCGCAGAUAUCAGGAGAAGACCGCUGGCGGAAGGCGGGUCUCUGGGCCGUAACUGACGCUGAGGAGCGAAAGCGUGGGGAGCGAACAGG